UGUGGGACUGUUCAAACUAGUAAUUCAAGAGAAUUGAAUAGAAUAUUGAUUAAAACAAUACUGAAGUGUGCUUUAUUAGAGUUUAAUGGUUGUAGUAAACCGUGUUUUUUUGUGCACCUGUGGAUUUUUGUGUGUACUUGUUGGGAGGGGGUUGGGAAAGAGAGCGUCUGCAUCUUUAAAUGGUCACCAUGUGCCAAUGUGCUUAAAUUGAAGAGGGCUGCUGUCAUCUGGUGAAUCAUUCUGAGGGUGGUGUUUAAGUCGGGCCAGCAAGUACAGACAUGUUCUCGUACCUCAUUUAAAGCCCCCCAUGAGAAGAUGAUGGGUCACAGAUUCACAGCAGAGUGUAAGAUGUGACAUCUGUCAGCAAAUGAGGAAAUGAUUUGCAGCCUUCAAUUCCAAACCACUAUUUGCCUGUCAAAACAGAGGAGCUUUCUUUCACAAGCCUGCCCAGCUGUCAACGUCAUCUGACUUUUUGGUUGUGACUCUCUCUCUAUACAAAUGAAAAUAAACAUAUGAUCCAUGAAGAAGUUGUGAUGCAAAGGAAAGAGUGAAGAAGACGCUAUCUCCAGCCCCCUUCAUCUGAAUCAACAGAAAGAGCUGCAUUUCAGAGAUGCUGAAGCAUCGGAAAAUCGAGGAAAGGAAGUCCUGCAUGUUUGAAAUGACAUGAGGGUGAGUAAAUGAUUGCAGAUUUGUCAUUAUUGGGUGAACUGUCCCUUUAAGAGCUUGAAGCCCCAGUGUUUCCACAGAGGUGAUUGACUGAGAUAUACAUUAGCUCACACAUGCGUCUUUGAGCAACACUUGCUGCUGUAUGUUGAUGGGCUAAGUAACAAAAGACCUGCUGUUUGAGUGGACUACCACCUGUCCUUCAACAGCACUGCCUUCACAACUUCCCCCACACUUUCAAACCACUCUUCAUCCAUUCAUGACUUAAGUUUCAGGAUUUACGAUGUUAUUGCCACCUUGGUAACUAGUGCACUUCAAGUGCUUUACAUUUUAUAAUCUCAAAUUGCUCUCAUGUAAGAACAAACUGUACUUGCAGAGAAUACAAAAUAAGAAUACUGCUUUCAUCAUUCACAUA